UCCCUGGUGGUCCAGUGGUUAAGACUCCACACUUCCACUGUAGAGGGCACAGGUUCUAUUCCCUGCUGGGGAA
rnacentral:tRNA from 1 species